rnacentral:rRNA from 1 species
UACGAAGGGGGCUAGCGUUGCUCGGAAUUACUGGGCGUAAAGCGCACGUAGGCGGCUUUCUAAGUCGGGGGUGAAGUCCUGGAGCUCAACUCCAGAACUGCCUUCGAUACUGGAAAGCUCGAGUCCGGGAGAGGUGAGUGGAACUGCGAGUGUAGAGGUGAAAUUCGUAGAUAUUCGCAAGAACACCAGUGGCGAAGGCGGCUCACUGGCCCGGUACUGACGCUGAGGUGCGAAAGCGUGGGGAGCAAACAGGG